rnacentral:tRNA from 1 species
GUAGCUCGUCAGGCUCAUAACCUGAAGGCCGCAGGUUCAAAUCCUGCCCCCGCAACCA